rnacentral:misc_RNA from 1 species
UUUCAUUUUCAAGCUCACAACACUUGACUGGCUGGUAAACAAGAACAACACAGGUAAAACAAAGUUUUCGUCAUUUCUGGAUACAUGUUAAUCAUUUUUCUUAAAUUUCCUAUUGAGAAAACUAAAAUAUGAAUUGAAUAAAUACCGAAAACGACUAAAUAAACAAUUUCAAUGACCUCCAGCUGUUAUCUCGUUAUCAACAAUUAAAUAGGACAUUAAUCCAAUUAACUGAUGAAGGACUUUCGUCUUAAAUGAAAAAAAAAGAAACAACAUAAAAUUGUGUUGAUAAAUGGCGGGUAUUACUUUCUGAUGUUGAUCUAAAUAUGACGAUCAGGCCUGUUUUAAGAACCAUGUCGCAUAAUUUUGGUUAAAGGUAUCAAGAUUUAUAUUGUAUUUUUUAAAGAUUAUUUAAAAUACCCUUUGUCUAACAUUAAAGCAAAAAUAUUAAAUUCUUCAGUAAUUACAUCAAAGUCUUCAGUAAUUUUUGAUAAAUCCUUAUUUGUUCUCAUUAUAGAUUUCGCAUCAAUAUUUAUGAAGAAAAUAGGUAGCAAUUCUAGGAAUAGUUUCACGGUCUUCAAUCGGUACUCAACAAUGACUAGCUCCAUGACACAAUAGAGACCCAAAAUAUAUCAAGUAAAAAAUGUUUCAACCGAAAGUUUUACAUAAAUCUUUAGGUUUCAUUUAAUCUAAAAUACAACCAUGGCAGCUGGGCAAAUAUGCAAAUACUAGCUUGUAAAAUUUGUCAGAAGUUAUUAUUGAUGUUAAUGAACCAAAAUUUCUUUUUCUAUUUAUGCAUUAACCUAGGAAGAACAGAUACCAUUUUAGGAUGAAAUCAAUACUUUGUAAAGCAUGUCAAGGAAUCAGAGGAUGCACCUCAUGACAAGUAUAUUGAACCUAGGGAUGUGCAUAUAUAAAUGACUUCUGGCUACAAAACACAUUGAUUUUUAAAGAAAAUUGUUAUUAAUUUGAAACAAACUAAAAUGAUUAUAGUCUAGCUUGUAUAUAUAUGACUCUAGUUUUGUUUUGAUCCACAAGAUCAUAUAUAUGAUUUUCCAUUUAAAUAAACAGACAUAAAUGUCUCUGAAAUAAAUAAAUGAAUUAUCUUUCCUGUGUGCAUGCACCAAAAUGGAAAAAAUUAAUCAAUUGAGGAUCAUUCAUUGACAAUGUUAGAUUGACCCUUUAAAGUAAAAAACAGAAAUAUUUUUUGGUUCUAUUUUCAAAUUUCAAUUUAUU